UAAUAGAUAUAUUAGUGUAUAUAUAUAUAUAUAUGCAUAUAUAUACACUAAUAUAUAUAUAUAUAUGCAUAUAUAUACACUAAUAUAUAUAUAUAUAUAUAUAUAUAUAUAUAUAUAUAUAUAUAUAUAUAUCACACGUAUACAUGAACUCUUAACUUUUGACUCUGACACAUGUCAGAGUUAAAAGGCAGAUAUUUAAAACAGCUUAAAAUAAAUCGUUCAUGAGCUUUUAAACAACGGAUUUGAUUGUCUCAACUGAUGCACACAAGCUGUAGAUGGAACUACUAAGAAUAAAGUGUGUUUCUUACCUUUAGGAGUGACAGUCAGACGGAUCGGAUUCCCGAACAACAACACAGUGUUACAGGCUUGCACAAAAACCUCAGAGCUCAGAUGUCCUCAGAAACGAUGGAAAACGUAAGAAACCCACAAGACGUGAGGCCUCGAGUCUUUAGAGCUCAGAGGAACGAACACCGGCAGAUCUUCACAUUUAUGUGAGAAUAUUACACAGCGUCAGCAGCACAGACGCAGCAUUCAGUGAGAGUGAAGAAGAGUGAGUGAUUUCAGGUGAAGAGCCGCCAAGGACUCACCUGACACUCACCCAGGACUCACCUGGGACUCACCUGGGACUCACCUGGGACUCACCUGGGACUCACCUGGGGGUUGGGUGGGUCCCCCUUCUGAUUUUCAAUGUGUCCUGACUGGGACCAGAGACUCUACAGCCAACUGGAGGUUUCUGUUCAGCUCUAUGUGGAAAUUCAGUCACUGUGGGAUACCAAGUAGACACGGUGAAGACACCUCCUACAAAAACCUCCAAGGAAGAAAAGCCAGCACCACAAGGACUAAACCAGUACAGUACUGCCUCAGACCAGUGCAGACUGCCUUAGACCAGUGCAGACUGCCUUAGACCGGCAGAUCUUCACAUUGUGAGAAUAUUACACAGCGUCAGCAGCACAGACGCAGCAUUCAGUGAGAGUGAAGAAGAGUGAGUGAUUUCAGGUGAAGAGCCACCAAGGACUCACCUGACACUCACCUGACACUCACCUAGGACUCACCUGGGACUCACCUGGGACUCACCCGGGACUCACCCGAGACUCCCUUGGGGGUUGGGUGGGUCCCCCUUCUGAUUCUCAAUGUGUCCCGACGGACCAGAGACUCUACAGCCAACUGGAGGUUUCUGUUCAGCUCUAUGUGGAAAUUCAGUCACUGUGGGAUCCCACGUAGACACGGUGAAGACACCUCCUACAAAAACCUCCAAGGAAGAAAAGCC
ensembl:lncRNA